rnacentral:lncRNA from 1 species
GCUAAUCUUUAAAAUUGAAGUUCAGCCAACUUGGAUCUACAGUAUUUGCCAGCUAACAAGGUGUUGAAAUCAAGUGGCCUACUUACAGUGUUGUGUUCAACACCACCUAAAGCAAGACCGAUUCAAGACCAAGACUGGAGGAGGGAGACCGAGUCAAGACUAAGACAGGGAGGGGGGCGAGGGUUCUGAGACCGAGUCAAGAACGAGACCAGAAAAAUAGAACAUGGCAGGACGUCCAACUGGCCUCACAACCGCAGACCACAUGUAACCACGCCAGCCCAGGACCUCCACAUCCGGCUUCUUCACCUGUGGGAUCGUCUGAGACCAACCACCCGGAUAGCUGAUAAAACUGAGGAGUAUUUCUUUGUAUUAAAGCCCUUUUGUGGGGAAGAACUGAUUCUGAUUGGCUGGGCCUGGUUCCCCAGUGGAUGGGCCUGGCUCCCAAGUUGGUGGGCCUAUGCCCUCCCAGGCCCACCCAUGGCUGCGCCCCUGCCCAGUCAUGUGAAAUCCAUAGGCUAGGGCCUAAUGAAUUUAUUUUAAU